GGAGGUAGUGACAAUAAAUCUCAAUACGAAGCCUUUGGUUUUGUAAUUGAAUUGAGAACAAUGUACAAUCGUUAUCGAUAAACAAUUGGAGGGCAAGUCUGGUGCCAGCAGCCGCGGUAAUUCCAGCUCCAAUAGCGUAUAUUAACGUUGUUGCAGUUAAAAAGCUCGUAGUUGAAGUUUAGAUGAUUGUUGAAAGUGUUUGUAUUCGUACAAAUGAAUUUUCAAGGAGUCAUCGACUUCCAGAUAGGUAUUGUUGUUACGUAUUCUUUCGGGAAUGCGGCAAUACUAGACUGGUCAUUUACUGUGAGAAAAUUAGAGUGUUUAAAGCAGACUUCAUGAUUGUAAAGUAGUUUGAAUAGAUUAGCAUGGAAUAAUAAGAUUGGCUUUCAUAGUCGAUUUUUUGGUUUGUUUAUGAAAGCAAGAUUAAUAGGGACAGUUGGGGGUAUUCAUAUUCAAUAGCUAGAGGUGAAAUUCUAUGAUUUAUGGAAGAUGAACAAGUGCGAAAGCA
rnacentral:rRNA from 1 species